rnacentral:rRNA from 1 species
GAAGACGGUCAUAGUAAUCGUGAAAUACCCGAUCCCUUUCCGAACUCGGAAGUCAAGACGAUUACGCCAUCUGCGUUAGUGUCCACAAGAUGCGAAACAAUGGUGCUGUCUUCA